UACAGGGGGUGCAAACGUUGCUCGGAAUCAUUGGGCGUAAAGCGCACGUAGGCGGUCUGUUAUGUCGGAUGUGAAAGCCCUUGGCUUAACUGAGGAAGUGCAUCCGGAACUGGCAGGCUAGAGUACUAAAGAGGGUCGUGGAAUUCCCGGUGUAGUGGUGAAAUGCGUAGAUAUCGGGAGGAACACCAGUGGCGAAGGCGACUUCCUGGCCUGUUCUUGACGCUGAGGCGCGAAAGCUAGGGGAGCAAACGGG
rnacentral:rRNA from 1 species